UCCCUGAAGGAUUAGUGGUUAAGCCUCAGUGCUUUCACCGCCGUGGCCUGGGUUCGAUUCCCAGCCACUUGGGUUA